UGGAGGUUAGCUGAGUUGGUUAGAGCACUGCGUUGACUUCGCAGAUGUCAGUGGUUCGAGAACACUGCCACCCA
rnacentral:tRNA from 1 species